rnacentral:lncRNA from 15 species
UAUUCGCGCUAUGGCCUUUGUGCGGUGACAAAAUCCGCGCGUUGAAUGCACAAAAGCCGCAAUACACCAUAUUCUGUCGUCUGCAAGGAAAUCUGAGAGCUCGCGGAGCUAAGUUUUCGUCUGCUAGAUGUAUCAUUCAAAAUAUGCUGAAUGAUACAGAAGACCUGGUUUUGGUCCAUUGGACGAAAACCGGAAAAAAGAAUGUGGUGGCUGUUCAAGAUUUAGAGGAGAUAGACGGAGUCUGGGUUGGGUCAAGAUGUACAAUGAAGUGGGGACGGCAAAGCUGGAAGGGUACCAUUCUGGCUGUUGAUGACUGGAGAGAGGCUGAGCCAGAGAAAGAGAAUGACUACAGCGAUAGUGAUGAUGACAAAUGCCUUUAGCUGUCCUUGCUAAAAGAUCUGUGGCGCGAUUUUCUACUAAAUUGUGGUCAUCCAUCGUGUUUCGUUGAAGUAUGGGCAGCAUGUGUUCGUUACCAUACAGCUUUGUGUCAUGGGCAUUGGAUGGGAAUGACCCAUGUGGCUCACAUUCAUACUUUAGUGAAACGGUACCUAUCCCAGAGCAACACAAUGACGAGAAGAUCAUCUAUCAUUGUAUGCAGACCAUCAAGGACUGGGACUGCAUGUGACAGUCAACGAAGACAUCGAGGGAAGUAUGCAGAGCAUUGACAACGACUGUGCAGCGCAGACGGUCAACAAAGACACCGAUGAAAGUAUGCAGACCACUGAUGACGUCAGUUUAAUCCUAUGUUAACUGGGGGGGGGGGUCAAUUUGAC